CUGCCGGUGAUAAACCGGAGGAAGGUGGGGAUGACGUCAAGUCAUCAUGGCCCUUACGAGUAGGGCUACACACGUGCUACAAUGGCAGAUACAAAGAGAAGCGACCUCGCGAGAGCAAGCGGAACUCAUAAAGUCUGUCGUAGUCCGGAUUGGAGUCUGCAACUCGACUCCAUGAAGUCGGAAUCGCUAGUAAUCGUAGAUCAGAAUGCUACGGUGAAUACGUUCCCGGGCCUUGUACACACCGCCCGUCACACCAUGGGAGUGGGUUGCAAAAGAAGUAGGUAGCUUAACCUUCGGGAGGGCGCUUACCACUUUGUGAUUCAUGACUGGGGUGAAGUCGUAACAAGGUAACCGUAGGGGAACCUGCGGUUGGAUCAC
rnacentral:rRNA from 1 species